GACGAACGCUGGCGGCGUGCUUAACACAUGCAAGUCGAGCGGAAAGGCCCUUUCGGGGGUACUCGAGCGGCGAACGGGUGAGUAACACGUGAGUAAUCUGCCCUUGGCUUUGGGAUAACCACCGGAAACGGUGGCUAAUACCGGAUAUGACGGGCUCCGGCAUCGGGGGUUCGUGGAAAAGUUUUUUUCGGCCAGGGAUGUGCUCGCGGCCUAUCAGCUUGUUGGUGGGGUAAUGGCCUACCAAGGCUUCGACGGGUAGCCGGCCUGAGAGGGUGACCGGCCACACUGGGACUGAGACACGGCCCAGACUCCUACGGGAGGCAGCAGUGGGGAAUAUUGGACAAUGGGCGGAAGCCUGAUCCAGCAACGCCGCGUGAGGGAUGACGGCCUC
rnacentral:rRNA from 1 species